UAACGCGAAGAACCUUACCUGGGUUUGACAUCGCCGGAAAACUCGUAGAGAUACGGGGUCCUUCGGGGCCGGUGACAGGUGGUGCAUGGCUGUCGUCAGCUCGUGUCGUGAGAUGUUGGGUUAAGUCCCGCAACGAGCGCAACCCUCGUUCCAUGUUGCCAGCGGGUUAUGCCGGGGACUCAUGGAAGACUGCCGGGGUCAACUCGGAGGAAGGUGGGGAUGACGUCAAAUCAUCAUGCCCCUUAUGUCUAGGGCUGCAAACAUGCUACAAUGGCCGGUACAAAGGGCUGCGAUACCGUGAGGUGGAGCGAAUCCCAAAAAGCCGGUCUCAGUUCGGAUUGGGGUCUGCAACUCGACCCCAUGAAGUUGGAGUCGCUAGUAAUCGCAGAUCAGCAACGCUGCGGUGAAUACGUUCCCGGGUCUUGUACACACCGA
rnacentral:rRNA from 1 species